rnacentral:misc_RNA from 1 species
AAGACUAUAGACCUGCGGAGUACCUGCGGAGGGAUCAUUACUUAUUUUGGUCUCUCUCUCUUCGGGAGAGAUCAUAAAAUCAUCCACAGUGUGGGAAAUGUCUUCUUAACGCUUGUGCCUGGUUCAGUCAUAUGUACUGCCACUUGAGUUUAUUCUUAGAUCAAGGGAUCUUUGAGUAGUUUUCUUUUACGGAAAACCUCUUGUAAAGGGGACAAGAUUUACUUUUAUAAUAUACUUUUU